rnacentral:rRNA from 1 species
ACGAACGCUGGCGGCAUGCCUAACACAUGCAAGUCGAACGAAGGCUUCGGCCUUAGUGGCGCACGGGUGCGUAACGCGUGGGAACCUGCCCCUCGGUUCGGAAUAACAGUUAGAAAUGACUGCUAAUACCGGAUGAUGACUUCGGUCCAAAGAUUUAUCGCCGAGGGAUGGGCCCGCGUAGGAUUAGCUUGUUGGUGGGGUAAAGGCCUACCAAGGCGACGAUCCUUAGCUGGUCUGAGAGGAUGAUCAGCCACACUGGGACUGAGACACGGCCCAGACUCCUACGGGAGGCAGCAGUGGGGAAUAUUGGACAAUGGGCGAAAGCCUGAUCCAGCAAUGCCGCGUGAGUGAUGAAGGCCUUAGGGUUGUAAAGCUCUUUUACCCGGGAUGAUAAUGACAGUACCGGGAGAAUAAGCUCCGGCUAACUCCGU